AAGUCGUAACAAGGUUUCCGUAGGUGAACCUGCGGAAGGAUCAUUGACAAAUCUAAAACCGUUGCGUGGAGUGUUAGUCCUUAACGGGCGCUAACCUUCACGUCAACAAAUCUUAACCUGUGAAUCGCAGCGCUAACUUAUGGCUAGCGUUGUUGUGUCGUGUGUGUUAGAUCUCUGUAUACUUUGUAGCUUAGCGCUACUAAUUAUAUAUAUUUAACACCACACACGUUAAAUUAAAGUAACAAAUGUCUUGAAAUACAAACUAAAAAAUACAACUUUUAGCAAUGGAUCUCUUGGCUUCU
rnacentral:misc_RNA from 1 species